CAUAUUGAUUGUAUUGGGAAAGGCUGCUAUUGAUGAGACAUGGAUGAUGGAACUGUUAAUCAUGGAAGACCUGCUAUUGAUGAAACCGUGGAAUUAUAACUUGACAUAACUGUUGAUCGUAUUGGGAAAGGCUGCUAUUGAUGAGACAUGGAUGAUGGAACUGUUAAUCAUGGAAGACUUGCUAUCAAUGAAACCAUGUAAUUAUAACUUGAUUUACAUAUUGAUUGUAUUGGGAAAGGCUGCUAUUGAUGAGACAUGGAUGAUGGAACUGUUAAUCAUGGAAGACCUGCUAUUGAUGAAACCGUGUAAUUAUAACUUGAUAUAACUGUUGAUCGUAUUGGGAAAGUUUGCUAUUGACGAAACACGGAAUUAUGAC